CCCCUCCGAAUUCUUGGAACUGGAUGCCACGUAUGACAGCAGGGUCACCAACUCCACCUUGUGAAUGGUCUCGUCCAGGACGGACAUGAUCCUCUUGGUCUCGAUGGUGAGAACCCAUGUUUCAUGGAUGACAUUUGGCUUGCAGAAGGUUCCGGGGCUGGAGCUGAAGCAGUGAACACUGCAGGCGUCUGCUGGAUCAAGGAGGAAAAUGUAUUUCUUUGUCUGGCUUGUGGUUAAAAAAAAAAGGGACUUCCCUGGUGGCGCAGUGGUUAGGAAUCCACCUGCCAGUGCAGGAGACACGGGUUUGAUCCCUGGUCCGGGAAGACCCCACAUGCCGCGGAGCAACUAAUCCCGUGUGCCACAACUACUGAGCCUGCGCUCUAGAGCCUGCAAGCCACAACUACUGAAGCCCACGCGGCUAGAGCCCAUGCUCCGCAACAAGAGAAGCCACGCAAUGAGAAGGCCGUGCACCGCAACAAACAGCAGCCCCCGCUCGCCGCAACUAGAGAAAGCCCGUGCGCAGCAACAAAUACCCAACGCAGCCAAAAAGACAAAAACAAAAAC